GGAGUUUGGACCGUGUCUCAGUUCCAAUGUGGGGGACCUUCCUCUCAGAACCCCUACUGAUCGUCGCCUUGGUGGGCCGUUACCCCGCCAACAAGCUAAUCAGACGCAUCCCCAUCCCUUACCGCUGAGCUUUAUUCACCGUCAGAUGCCAUCUAGUGAAACUAUCAGGAGUUAAUCCGGUUUUCACCGGGCUAUGCCUGAGUAGGGGGAAGGUUGGAUACGCGUUACUCACCCGUGCGCCGGUCGCCAUCAAGAUUAGCAAGCUAAUCUCAUGCUGCCCCUCGACUUGCAUGUGUUAAGCCUGUAGCUAGCGUUCAUC
rnacentral:rRNA from 1 species